UAAUAAUCCUUUGAAUUUCUGCGAUAUCAGUUGUAAAGUCUCUUUUCUCACCUCUGAUUUUAUUUGGACCUUCUCUCCUUUUUAAUUGGUUAGUCUGGCUAAAAGUUUGUCAAUUUUGUUUAGGCUUUCAAAAACUAACUUUUAAUUUCGUUGAUCUUUUGUUUUUUGUUGUUGUUGUUUUUAGAUAAGUAAUAUGCAUUACAUUUUUAUUUUUUAUUAUACAAGUAAUACUGAUGGAUAAAAAAUCUUGCAAUCUGUCAGUAAGACACACAGAAAGCUCUUUAGUCUGAUCAGGUCCCAGCUAUUUAUCUUUGUUUUUAUUGCAUUUGCUUUUGGGUUCUUGGUCAGGAAAUCCUUGCCUAAGCCAAUGUCUAGAAGGGUUUUCCAAUGUUAUCGUCUAGAAUUUUAAUAGUUUCACGUCUUAGGUUUAAGUCCUUAAUCCAUCUUGAGUUGAUUUUUGUAUAAGGUGAGAGAUGGGGAUCCAGUUUCAUUCUCCUACAUGUGUCUUGCCAAUUAUCCCAGCACCAUUUGUU